GGGUUUUGUGGAGGAAAAAAAAAAAUGAAGAGUAAAAAAUGGGAACAAAUAAGAAAAAGAAAGAAGAGAAAAAAUGAAGAUAGAUUUUUCGGAGCGAAAAAAGCAAAGGCGCGGGGGAUUGUGGCCUAAAAUUGCUGUCGUGACUGUUUCAAAAUCAAGCAGGUUCCUUUCCAACUCUUCCAUACGCGGUUUCCUACCUGUCCAUUUUU
rnacentral:misc_RNA from 1 species